UCGAGAGUUUGAUCCUGGCUCAGAUUGAACGCUGGCGGCAUGCCUUACACAUGCAAGUCGAACGGCAGCACGGGUGCUUGCACCUGGUGCGAGUGGCGGAACGGGUGAGUAACUACAUCGGAACGUACCUUAUCGUGGGGGAUAACGCAGCGAAAGUUGCGCUAAUACCGCAUACGCCCUGAGGGGGAAAGCGGGGGACCGUAAGGCCUCGCGCGAUUAGAGCGGCCGAUGUCUGAUUAGCUUGUUGGUGAGGUAAAAGCUCACCAAGGCGAUGAUCAGUAGCUGGUCUGAGAGGACGAUCAGCCACACUGGGACUGAGACACGGCCCAGACUCCUA
rnacentral:rRNA from 1 species